rnacentral:rRNA from 1 species
GAUGAACGCUGGCGGCGUGCUUAACACAUGCAAGUCGAACGAUGAAGCCCAGCUUGCUGGGUGGAUUAGUGGCGAACGGGUGAGUAACACGUGAGCAACCUGCCCCUGACUCUGGGAUAAGCGCUGGAAACGGCGUCUAAUACUGGAUAUGUCCCAUCACCGCAUGGUGUGUGGGUGGAAAGAUUUUUCGGUUGGGGAUGGGCUCGCGGCCUAUCAGCUUGUUGGUGAGGUAAUGGCUCACCAAGGCGUCGACGGGUAGCCGGCCUGAGAGGGUGACCGGCCACACUGGGACUGAGACACGGCCCAG